CAGUAGCACGGUAAUACGAAGGGUGCAAGCGUUACUCGGAAUUACUGGGCGUAAAGCGUGCGUAGGUGGUGGUUUAAGUCCGUUGUGAAAGCCCUGGGCUCAACCUGGGAAUUGCAGUGGAUACUGGGUCACUAGAGUGUGGUAGAGGAUAGUGGAAUUUCCGGUGUAGCAGUGAAAUGCGUAGAGAUCGGAAGGAACAUCUGUGGCGAAGGCGACUAUCUGGGCCAACACUGACACUGAGGCACGAAAGCGUGGGGAGCAAACAGGAUUAGAUACCCCGGUAGUCCCUGUCUCUUAUACA
rnacentral:rRNA from 1 species